UGGGGAAUAUUGCACAAUGGGCGAAAGCCUGAUGCAGCAACGCCGCGUGCGGGAUGACGGCCUUCGGGUUGUAAACCGCUUUCAGCAGGGACGAAGGUUUUCUGACGGUACCUGCAGAAGAAGCACCGGCUAACUACGUGCCAGCAGCCGCGGUGAUACGUAGGGUGCGAGCGUUGUCCGGAAUUAUUGGGCGUAAAGAGCUUGUAGGCGGUCCGUUGCGUCGGAAGUGAAAACUCAGGGCUUAACCCUGAGCCUGCUUUCGAUACGGGCGGACUUGAGGGAUGUAGGGGAGAACGGAAUUCCUGGUGGAGCGGUGGAAUGCGCAGAUAUCAGGAGGAACACCAGUGGCGAAGGCGGUUCUCCGGACAUUUCCUGACGCUGAGAAGCGAAAAGCGUGGGGAGCAAACAGGCUUAGAUACCCUGGUAGUCCACGCCGUAAACGGUGGGCACUAGGUGUGGGACCCAUUCCACGGGUUCCGUGCCGUAGCUAACGCAUUAAGUGCCCCGCCUGGGGAGUACGGCCGCAAGGCUAAAACUCAAAUGAAUUGACGGGGUCAU
rnacentral:rRNA from 1 species